rnacentral:rRNA from 1 species
GAUGAACGCUGGCGGCGUGCUUAACACAUGCAAGUCGAACGGUGAAGCUCCAGCUUGCUGGAGUGGAUCAGUGGCGAACGGGUGAGUAACACGUGAGCAACCUGCCCCUGACUCUGGGAUAACAGCCGGAAACGGCUGCUAAUACCGGAUAUGCACCAUGAACGCAUGUUCUGUGGUGGGAAAGAUUUUUCGGUUGGGGAUGGGCUCGCGGCCUAUCAGCUUGUUGGUGAGGUAAUGGCUCACCAAGGCGUCGACGGGUAGCCGGCCUGAGAGGGUGACCGGCCACACUGGGACUGAGACACGGCCCAGACUCCUACGGGAGGCAGCAGUGGGGAAUAUUGCACAAUGGGCGAAAGCCUGAUGCAGCAACGCCGCGUGAGGGAUGACGGCCUUCGGGUUGUAAACCUCUUUUAGCAGGGAAGAAGCGGGAGUGACGGUACCUGCAGAAAAAGCGCCGGCUAACUACGUG